UACGUAGGGCGCAAGCGUUGUCCGGAAUUAUUGGGCGUAAAGAGCUCGUAGGCGGUUUGUCGCGUCUGCUGUGAAAACCUAAGGCUCAACCUUGGGCUUGCAGUGGGUACGGGCAGACUAGAGUGCGGUAGGGGUGACUGGAAUUCCUGGUGUAGCGGUGGAAUGCGCAGAUAUCAGGAGGAACACCCGUAGCGAAGGCGGCACUCUGGGCCGAUACUGACACUGAGGAGCGAAAGCGUGGGGAGCGAACAGG
rnacentral:rRNA from 1 species